rnacentral:lncRNA from 1 species
GUGGACGAGAUGGUGGCGCGGAUGCAGGGCAAGGUUGACGAAGCCGAAGCCGCUGACGAGGAGGUUGCCAGGGAACCUCCUGACGCCGACACAGCCGCCCCGGAGUGCCUCUUGCAUGAUUGUCUACUUUUUCGUUUUUUUUAUUUCCCUGCGAGUGGCGCAUGGCGCCUUAGAACUUUUUGUGUUAGCUUUCCCUUGUCAUCACAAGUGUAAUUUGUUAACUCGUUUGCUCAAGCUUCAUUAUAUCCAAUGCUACUUUUACUUGCUUCUUUGCCUAAAACUAGCUUGCCGGGGAGGGGCUCUGUCCUUCUCGUGUUUUAUCCUUGCGUAUCCGGGGACUCGCCAACCGUAUGAUUGGCCAGACUAGGGAACCGGGAAGGACCCGCGGUGCCGACCUAGGACCAAACAGCAACGGCUAGUCACUCCGCCUGCCGGUUAACUCCCCCAGCGCGCAUGCCUCCGGGACGAACCUCGCGAGCCACGUGUGGGGCGCGUCCUCACCCUGCAAGCGUCCUUCCUACGCUCCGGCAACACGGGGACCGAGCUUACCUUGGCAAACCAGCGCUACUAAAGGAAGAGCCAAGGACCGAAAACAAAGUACUUAGCUUCCCGCUCUCUUUGGUCUUGCAG